rnacentral:sRNA from 1 species
AAUUGUAAUAGUUUGGUAACUCAAGGGUGGUUGGCUCACUCCUCUUUUAGAUUGGGGGUGAGGCCUAUGACAGUAUAUGAAGCAUUAAUGUUUGCAGUAGCAUUCGCGGCAUUGAUUGUAUCAAUACUUUCAUCAAUCCAUAAAAAAUAACCCAUCCUUGAGUUGAGAGCUCGAUGGGUUACUGUACCAAAGGGCCAAUCCCCCUUGAAGGGAUCGACUAUUAUGUUUGACUACUUGAUGCUGUAACAUCAGGU